UGGACGUACGCUCAUUUCAACGUUGAGCUUGGCAUUUAUCAAUUUGAACGAGAGCGCAGGCUGCGAUGAAAUCUCACAUCAGGUCUGAGCUCGUGUACGCAAGUUUUUUUGGCGCAACAUACGGGUAUUUCACUGAUGAAUAGUGCAGCACAAGUAGCCCAUGUUGCACAUCUGUAUUAAUUACUAAAUAAAUUGGAAUUAGCCCAGCCGUUCAAACAAUUACAAUCAAGUCAGGCCUAAUUAAAAACAGUAUUGCUAUGAAAAUAAUUAGAAUGUGACAGGUGAAAUGUUUAUUCAGCUGUCUAUAUAAACAGGAGCUUUGCCAAGUAGGUGGUCGAGUCUCAGCGAUGGCAGAUCUGGCUCUGUUAGAGGACCUCAACGCACGUCUAAGACGAGAGAGAGUUUUUCGAGACCGCGCCGAUUUUUUUAGGGAGAGCGAUGAAUGGCUCUUGAGUCGUUUUCGUCUCCCAAGGCAUCUCCUGAUGGAGCUAUGCAAUGCUUUGGAGCCACAGUUAAGGCGAGAAACGAGGCGAUCAAACGCAAUACCUGUGCCAGUGCAGGUGUGCUCUACCUUGGGGUUUUUGGCCACCGGGACCUUUCAACGGGAGAUCGGGGACAGGUCUGGUAUUUCCCAGCCAAGUAUUAGCCGAACCAUGCCAGCAGUUUUGGCAGCUAUAAUGUCCCUCUCCGAACGUUAUAUUAAAUUCCCAUAUAAUAACGAUCAGCAAACUGGAAUCAAACAGGAUUUUUAUGCUAUUGCUAGGUUUCCAAAUGUGAUUGGUGCGGUUGAUUGUACCCAUGUGCGUAUGAAGCCACCAUCUAUUAAUGAUUACGCGUACAUCAACCGCAAAAGCUACCAUUCAGUUAAUGUUCAUAUUAUUUGCGAUGCCAGAAUGUCAAUCCUGAACAUGGUAGCCCGAUGGCCUGGGGGCACGCACGAUUCUUUUAUUUUCCAAAAUAGCAACGUUGGGCAUCGUCUACAUCAGGGCGCACUACAUGGUCAGAGCCAUCUCCUCGGUGAGUUACGCUGCAGUCGCACUUUUUUUUCUCGAAAAACGUUUAAGACAUCGCACUAAAAGUUUGAUGUGAUUCAUCUAGGUGACAAAGGCUAUGCCCUGAACGAGUACCUGAUAACUCCUCUGGCUCAUCCGAACACGGAUCAGGAGCGCAACUUCAACAGCGCUCACACGCGCACAAGGGCAACAGUGGAGCGAUGUAUAGGCCUACUCAAGGGCAGGUGGAUGUCCAUCGGGUCAGCGGGGGGAACGUUGCUCUACAGCCCAGAAAAGACCUGCAAUAUUAUUUUAGCAUGUGGGGUUCUGCAUAAUAUGGGGUGCCAUUUGCCGACCUGCAGCCAGAUGACCCGAUGCCCAGAGAUCCCUGGCCACAGGCGCCACAUGCUCGAGCUCUACGACGAAGGGAGGAUUUAAUUCGGCUCUUCUAAUAUUUAAAGGGACCUCUGCAGUCAAGACCGAUGAGUGCAAACCAGCAAUUCGGCCAGACACGCGUUCCGGCUCCUUCGGCGGCGGCGGCCCUUCCGUUUCUUCAACUGGGCUUGGCUCUGUUCCCAUUUUGGAUGAACCUGCUUGCAUUUCAUCUUUAAAAAUAAAAAGCAAUCAUGAGA